rnacentral:rRNA from 1 species
UACAGAGGGGGCAAGCGUUGUUCGGAAUUACUGGGCGUAAAGGGCGCGUAGGCGGCCUGCUAAGUCGAACGUGAAAUCCCCGAGCUCAACUCGGGAACUGCGUCCGAUACUGGUGGGCUCGAAUCCGGGAGAGGGAUGUGGAAUUCCAGGUGUAGCGGUGAAAUGACGUAGAUAUCUGGAGGAACACCGGUGGCGAAGGCGGCAUCCUGGACCGGUAUUGACGCUGAUGCGCGAAAGCCAGGGGAGCA